GACGAACGCUGGCGGCGUGCCUAAUACAUGCAAGUCGAACGGUCCUUGUCCCCUUUUUUCGGGCGUUGGAUUGGAGGGGAACGGGGGGGAAACACGUGAGUAACCUGCCUCACCCUUCUGGCUACCCGCGUGAAAGGGUGGCAAAAACGGCGAAUACCGGCCUGCACUCAUUGGUGGGUUUGAAAAGAUUCGACCGGGUUUGGUUGUUUCGCUGGGGGAUUGGCUCGCGGCCCAUUAGCUAGUUGGUGAGGUGAGGGCCUGCCAAGGCGUUGACGGGUAGCCGGCCUGAGGGGGUGGGCGGUCACGGUGCGGCUGAGACACGGACCAGACUCCUGCGGGCGGCAGCAGUGGAGAAUAUGGCACAAUGGGCGAAAGCAUGAUGCAGCGACGCCGCGUGAGGGAUGGUGGCCUUCGCGUUGUGAACCUCUUUCGCCGGAGAAGAAGGGCCUGCUCUUUGUGGUGGGGUUGUGGGUAGCAGGGUUAAUGAAGCGCCGGCUAACUACGUG
rnacentral:rRNA from 1 species